rnacentral:lncRNA from 1 species
AUUUUAAAAUAACAUGCUUAUAAAAAGUACUGAAUAUAUUUUAUAGAAUUUAUGGAGUCCUUGGCGAUCUAAUUUUUCUAGUUUGUUUAUAAAUUUAACUCUUCCAUAAAAUUUUAUAAUAAAUAUACGUUAAAACAUAUAUUAUAUAUUAUACCGACCGAACGAGCCGUCCUGGCAUUAUACAUGUUUUAUAUAAAACAAGAAGACGAACGUACGCUUUUACCAACUUAUUCUGUUGGAGUCUGUGUAAUAUAUAUGUUUGUGGCAUAAGUGAAAUUAUGCUCAUAUCAAUAAGCUAUCGGCUAUACAGUAUGGUGUAUGUCUAUUGCCUAAAUGGUGUUAUGCAUAAGAUCCUAGGUGAUUUAAGACUCCGUCUGGAGCUUAAGUAAGUCCUCAACCUUUUCGAAGGUAACCAAUAUUUCUUUCGGAAUUUUGGUUUCUGAUGUUUAUUUAAAAAAUUAUAGUAAAGAAUAUCUCCCCUCUUUUAUUGGACACAGUCACUUUUCUAAAUAUUUUUAUUUUUUUGUUAUACCA